AGGGAGCUGCCAGGCUGGCUUGGGUCACUGUCCCAGCUGGUGGAAGCAUCUACACCUCCAAUGACAGGAGCCCAGCAGGAAAAAAGGAGAGCACUGGAGGCACCUGCCACUUAUGACUUUUGAAAAGGACAUUGAUGCUGAAGAAUGUACAAUACCAGAAACCUGCAAAUAUGGAUUGAAAAUGCUGUCGCUCAAAUUAAAGGAGGAGGAAGGUCCUACCAGCCCAGAUUCAGACUUAAUGUUGCAAGAACUCAUUUAAUGCAGAAAAUGGAUUGUCUUCCAGAUGUAAAACUACAGGGAUGUGUAGGUGUUGAAGAGAAGAUAAAAUCCAGUACCAGGGAAAAUGACAACCUGUGGUGCCCAGAAUCACCCUGUGGAAGGAAGAUGGAAUUGAGCAUUAAACAAGAUGUGGGAUGGAAACAGAAGAGAGGAGAGGAAAGCACAGGAGCGAAUAUCUUGAUCCUGAACACACAGUUCAGCCAGGCUGAUGCCAGAGCAAGAGUCAGGUAGAAGCACACUGUAAAUAACUCCUUGGAGCUGCAGCCAUUAAAGGGAACUCCCUAUCACAAAGCUUGGACAGAGUUCCAGGAAUAUUGCCUGCUUUUCACUGUACAAUUGGCAUUUCUUGGAGCAAAGAUUUUGAAUCAGUAAUCAAGCAGAAAUACUACUGUGAUCCAAACCUCCUCAGCUACUUAAAUGUAAGUACAGAUGCUCAAGUGAAACAUGAGCUAUCUCUCUUCUUCAUCAGGACAUCAUACACAAGUAGGUUAAAAGCCUCUUUGGUGUUUGGCCCAAUUCUAGGAAUUGCUGGGCCAGAUCUAGUGCAGCAUCCUGGCAAAGUCUUGUGCAGUUUAUUCCCAAACCAUCCUGUACUGAGGCUUCAGCUUGAAGGAUAAGACUGCAGCUGUGGAACAACAGCUGUUUCAUCAAUAACUUCCUCAGUGGCUGACACUAAAGGGAAAAGGGUGUGUGAUGCUGAAUGCAGAGACAUCACUUGAAAAGAAAGCUGAAAAAUAUCAAGUGUUACCUCGAGCCACUAGAGAAAAUCAAAAUGCAUUUUAAAACAUGCACACUUACCUGGUCAGCAGGAUUUCCUGCUGAAUGCUCUCUAGAGAUGCUUGGCCACAAAAUUCCCUGCUUCAUUGUAAUACCUGGGGUAAUUCAUUAGGUUUGCCACCUAUGUUGUUAAUCUGAAAGCAGUGUUUCUUUAAAUCCGUAAAAGAAAUCAAUAUCCAGAAGGCUUUUCAAGGCUAGAAUAUGAUGUACUUGUAAAGCAAACAGAGCAGCAGCAGCAUGAAUGACAGCUUUACUAAAACAUUAGGCUUCACCUAAGGCCAAAAUCAUGUGUAAGUGGAAUAAAAUUGCCACUAAUGAUCUUGGUCA
ensembl:lncRNA